rnacentral:rRNA from 1 species
CCUAACACAUGCAAGUCGAACGGUAACAGGAAGAAGCUUGCUUCUUUGCUGACGAGUGGCGGACGGGUGAGUAAUGUCUGGGAAACUGCCUGAUGGAGGGGGAUAACUACUGGAAACGGUAGCUAAUACCGCAUAACGUCGCAAGACCAAAGAGGGGGACCUUCGGGCCUCUUGCCAUCGGAUGUGCCCAGAUGGGAUUAGCUAGUAGGUGGGGUAACGGCUCACCUAGGCGACGAUCCCUAGCUGGUCUGAGAGGAUGACCAGCCACACUGGAACUGAGACACGGUCCAGACUCCUACGGGAGGCAGCAGUGGGGAAUAUUGCACAAUGGGCGCAAGCCUGAUGCAGCCAUGCCGCGUGUAUGAAGAAGGCCUUCGGGUUGUAAAGUACUUUCAGCGGGGAGGAAGGGAGUAAAGUUAAUACCUUUGCUCAUUGACGUUACCCGCAGAAGAAGCAUCGGCUAACUCCGUGCCAGCAGCCGCGGUAAUACGGAGGGUGCAAGCGUUAAUCGGAAUUACUGGGCGU